GGGUGAGUAACGCGUGAGCAACCUUCCUAUGACAGUGGGAUAGCCUCGGGAAACCGGGAUUAAUACCGCAUAAAAUCGUAGAAACACAUGUUUUAACGGUCAAAGAUUUAUCGGUCAUAGAUGGGCUCGCGUCUGAUUAGCUAGUUGGUGAGAUAACAGCCCACCAAGGCGACGAUCAGUAGCCGGUCUGAGAGGAUGAACGGCCACAUUGGAACUGAGACACGGUCCAA
rnacentral:rRNA from 1 species